UUUUUGCUCUGAUAUGCCUCGCGGCUGUUGCCGGAGUUCUUGCCCAGGCACCAACCGAAUCCCCUUCAACAUCUCCCUCGCCAAAAACUUCCCCAUCGGACUCUAAAUCGCCUUCUCCGUCUUCUUCUUCUCCCGCAGCCUCUCCAAAUGCCUCAUCUGAGUCAUCACCGUCCCCAACAGCUUCUGCUCCAUCUUCGUCCUCCGAGGCUCCAACCAGCAAAUCGCCCACCAGCUCCCCGGAAUCCUCCCCUUCCAUUUCUCCUUCUCCAGCGACCGACUCUCCUGCUGACUCUCCUGCUGAUUCCGAUGCUGACACCCCGAUCGCUGCCUCACCGGGUUCCGAUGUCUCUUCUCCCCCAUCCCCUGAUGCCGCGGAUGGCCCCGUUGCUGAUGGCCCUUCGGCUGAUGGCCCCACCGCUGAUUCUCCUGCUGAUUCGCCCGCUGGUGCUGACGGCAGCGGCGCUUCAGGUCUGAAACUCACCUCUGCCGUCGCUGGUGGUGCCGUCGCCG
rnacentral:misc_RNA from 1 species